AGAUUGCUUGGCUUCACUCCCAGUUUCUGAUUCGGGAGGCUGGGGUGGGGCCUGAGAAUUU
rnacentral:miRNA from 1 species